AUUGAACGCUGGCGGCAUGCUUUACACAUGCAAGUCGAACGGUAACAGGCCGCAAGGUGCUGACGAGUGGCGAACGGGUGAGUAAUGCAUCGGAACGUGCCCCGUCGUGGGGGAUAACUACUCGAAAGAGUAGCUAAUACCGCAUACGAUCUAUGGAUGAAAGCGGGGGACCGCAAGGCCUCGCGCGAUUUGAGCGGCCGAUGUCAGAUUAGGUAGUUGGUGGGGUAAAGGCUCACCAAGCCAACGAUCUGUAGCUGGUCUGAGAGGACGACCAGCCACACUGGGACUGAGACACGGCCCAGACUCCUACGGGAGGCAGCAGUGGGGAAUUUUGGACAAUGGGCGCAAGCCUGAUCCAGCAAUGCCGCGUGCAGGAAGAAGGCCUUCGGGUUGUAAACUGCUUUUGUACGGAACGAAACGGCUCUGGUUAAUACCCGGGGCUAAUGACGGUACCGUAAGAAUAAGCACCGGCUAACUACGUG
rnacentral:rRNA from 1 species